UACAGAGGUGGCUAGCGUUGUUCGGAUUUAUUGGGUGUAAAGGGUGCGUAGGCGGUUUGGAAAGUCGGAUGUGAAAUCCUAUGGCUUAACCAUAGAAUUGCAUUCGAAACUUCUAAACUCGAGUGCGAGAGAGGUGAAGGGAAUUCCCGGUGUAAGGGUGAAAUCUGUAGAGAUCGGGAGGAACACCAGUAGCGAAGGCGCUUCACUGGCUCGUAACUGACGCUGAGAGCACGAAAGCGUGGGGAGCGAACGGG
rnacentral:rRNA from 1 species